rnacentral:misc_RNA from 1 species
UCAAACUUGGUCAUUUAGAGGAAGUAAAAGUCGUAACAAGGUUUCCGUAGGUGAACCUGCGGAAGGAUCAUUAAAAUAGAUAUGGUCGCCCUCACGGGGCGGCUGCAGGACGUUCUGCCCUGCCACCCUUUGCUUAUUGUAUACCUUCUUGUUGCUUCCUCGGUGGGGACGCUCGCCGGUGGACAGCUUUUAUAAACCUCUCUGCAGUUGCAAACAUAUCUGAUGUGAGCAUGAAUUUACAACUUUCAACAACGGAUCUCUUGGUUCUGGCAUCGAUGAAGAACGCAGC